rnacentral:rRNA from 1 species
AUACGGAGGAUGCGAGCGUUAUCCGGAUUUAUUGGGUUUAAAGGGAGCGUAGGUGGGAUAUUAAGUCAGCUGUGAAAGUUUGGGGCUCAACCUUAAAAUUGCAGUUGAUACUGGUUUCCUUGAGUACGGUAUAGGUGGGCGGAAUUCGAGGUGUAGCGGUGAACUGCUUAGAUAUAACGAAGAACUCCGAUCGCGAAGGCAGCUCACCGGGCCGGAACUGACACUGAUGCUCGAAAGUGCGGGUAUCAAACAGGAUUAGAUACCCUGGUAGUCCGCACAGUAAACGAUGAAUACUCGCUGUUUGCGAUACACUGUAAGCGGCCAAGCGAAAGCGUUAAGUAUUCCACCUGGGGAGUACGCCGGCAACGGUGAAACUCAAAUGAAUUGGCGGG